rnacentral:rRNA from 1 species
UGGGGAAUAUUGCACAAUGGGCGGAAGCCUGAUGCAGCGACGCCGCGUGAGGGAUGACGGCCUUCGGGUUGUAAACCUCUUUCAGUAGGGACGAAGCGUAAGUGACGGUACCUACAGAAGAAGCGACGGCUAAAUACGUGCCAGCAGCCGCGGUAAUACGUAUGUCGCGAGCGUUAUCCGGAAUUAUUGGGCUUAAAGGGCAUCUAGGCGGUUAAACAAGUUGAAGGUGAAAACCUGUGGCUCAACCAUAGGCUUGCCUACAAAACUGUAUAACUAGAGUACUGGAAAGGUGGGUGGAACUACACGAGUAGAGGUGAAAUUCGUAGAUAUGUGUAGGAAUGCCGAUGAUGAAGAUAACUCACUGGACAGCAACUGACGCUGAAGUGCGAAAGCUAGGGGAGCAAACAGG